UACGUAGGGUGCAAGCGUUAUCCGGAUUUCCUGGGUUUAAAGGGUGCGUAGGUGGACAGGAAAGUCAGUGGUGACAUCUUCGAGCUUAACUCGGAAACUGCCAUUGAUACUAUUUGUCUUGAAUACUUUGGAGGUAAGCGGAAUAUGUCAUGUAGCGGUGAAAUGCUUAGAUAUGACAUAGAACACCAAUUGCGAAGGCAGCUUACUAGACAGUUAGUGACACUGAGGCACGAAAGCGUGGGGAUCAAACAGG
rnacentral:rRNA from 1 species